GAGUUUGAUCAUGGCUCAGAUUGAACGCUGGCGGCAGGCCUAACACAGCAAGUCGAACGCGAAAGCUCCUUCGGGGGCGAGUAGAGUGGCGAACGGGUGAGUAAUACGUAGGAAUCUACCCAGGAGUGGGGGAUAACCCGGGGAAACUCGGGCUAAUACCGCAUACGCCCUACGGGGUAAAGCGGGGGACCUUCGGGCCUCGCGCUUCUGGAUGAGCCUACGUCGGAUUAGCUUGUUGGUAGGGUAACGGCCUACCAAGGCGACGAUCCGUAGCUGGUCUGAGAGGAUGAUCAGCCACACUGGGACUGAGACACGGCCCAGACUCCUACGGGAGGCAGCAGUGGGGAAUAUUGGACAAUGGGCGAAAGCCUGAUCCAGCCAUGCCGCGUGUGUGAAGAAGGCCUUCGGGUUGUAAAGCACUUUCAGCAGGGAAGAAAAGCCUGGGGCUAAUAUCCCCGGGUCUUGACGGUACCUGCAUAAGAAGCACCGGCUAACUCCGUGCCAGCAGCCGCGGUAAUAC
rnacentral:rRNA from 1 species